rnacentral:rRNA from 1 species
CCUACGGGAGGCAGCAGUGAGGAAUAUUGGUCAAUGGGCGUAAGCCUGAACCAGCCAAGUCGCGUGAGGGAUGAAGGUUCUAUGGAUCGUAAACCUCUUUUAUAAGGGAAUAAAGUGUGGGACGUGUCCUGUUUUGUAUGUACCUUAUGAAUAAGCAUCGGCUAACUCCGUGCCAGCAGCCGCGGUAAUACGGAGGAUCCGAGCGUUAUCCGGAUUUAUUGGGUUUAAAGGGUGCGUAGGCGGCCUUUAAGUCAGGGGUGAAAGUCUGUGGGCUAACCAUAGAAGUGCCGUUGAAACUGGGAGGCUGGAGUAUGUGUGAGGUAGGCGGAAUGCGUGGUGUAGCGGUGAAAUGCUUAGAUAUCACGCAGAACCCCGAGUGCGAAGGCAGCCUGCCAGGCCAUGACUGACGCUGAUGCACGAAAGCGUGGGGAUCAAACAGGAUUAGAUACCCGUGUAGUC